AUAGAGACUCUCCAUCUCCUCUCUAUCUUGCAGUGUCUUCUCUCCAGCAACACUGAGCUCCCAGGCAAACUUCAGCCAUGAAGAUUCUCUACCUGCUCUUUGCUGUCUUUUUCCUGGUGCUGCAAAGCUCUCCAGGAUUCACCCAGGACAUCAAUACCCGCCGUGCUUGUCGUCGUGCUCGAGGCAUCUGCCGCCGUACAUGUCCGUCCAAUUUCGGACGAAUCGGAAGGUGUGGUUUUCGGCAGAGUUGCUGUAAAAGGACAUGGAGAGAGUGAGUGAUGGCAGCAGAGAUUGUCAAUGCAGGAUCUCUCGGAAUCUGGCAGAUGACGUUUUGCUUCUAAAAUCCUUGGAUGCUUUUCAUCUGGGCUGCAAAGAAUCUCGCAAGCUGGAAAAAAUCCACAAGGGAGCCCUUGUGUCCCCCCCCGCCAAAAGCUUGUUCUUCUCCUUUUAAUAAAAGUAGCUGCUGGUUGUGGUGUAUUGCAAA